rnacentral:rRNA from 1 species
UACAGAGGUCUCAAGCGUUGUUCGGAUUCAUUGGGCGUAAAGGGCGCGUAGGCGGCGGGGUAAGUCGGGUGUGAAAUCUCAGAGCUCAACUCUGAAACUGCACUCGAUACUGCUCUGCUUGAGGACUGGAGAGGAGACUGGAAUUCACGGUGUAGCAGUGAAAUGCGUAGAUAUCGUGAGGAAGACCAGUGGCGAAGGCGGAUCUCUGGACAGUUCCUGACGCUGAGGCGCGAAGGCCAGGGGAGCAAACGGG